rnacentral:rRNA from 1 species
CAUACGACUCUCGGCAACGGAUAUCUCGGCUCUCGCAUAGAUGAAGAACGUAGCGAAAUGCGAUACCUGGUGUGAAUUGCAGAAUCCCGCGAACCAUCGAGUCUUUGAACGCAAGUUGCGCCCGAGGCCACUCGGCCGAGGGCACGCCUGCCUGGGCGUCACGC